rnacentral:rRNA from 1 species
UACAGAGGUCCCGAGCGUUGUUCGGAUUCAUUGGGCGUAAAGGGUGCGCAGGCGGCUUCGCAAGUCAGGCGUGAAAUCCCCGAGCUUAACUUGGGAAUUGCGUUUGAAACUACGAAGCUGGAGUGUGGCAGAGGGAGGUGGAAUUCCACGUGUAGCGGUGAAAUGCGUAGAUAUGACAUAGAACACCAAUUGCGAAGGCAGCUUACUACACAGUUAUUGACACUGAGGCACGAAAGCGUGGGGAUCAAACAGG